rnacentral:tRNA from 1 species
GGAGGGGUGUCCGAGCGGCCUAAGGAGGCGGUCUUGAAAAUCGCUGAACCCUCUGUGGUUCCGUGGGUUCGAAUCCCACCCCCUCCG